rnacentral:rRNA from 1 species
GACGAACGCUGGCGGCGUGCCUAAUACAUGCAAGUUGAGCGCUGAAGGUUGGUACUUGUACCGACUGGAUGAGCAGCGAACGGGUGAGUAACGCGUGGGGAAUCUGCCUUUGAGCGGGGGACAACAUUUGGAAACGAAUGCUAAUACCGCAUAAAAACUUUAAACACAAGUUUUAAGUUUGAAAGAUGCAAUUGCAUCACUCAAAGAUGAUCCCGCGUUGUAUUAGCUAGUUGGUGAGGUAAAGGCUCACCAAGGCGAUGAUACAUAGCCGACCUGAGAGGGUGAUCGGCCACAUUGGGACUGAGACACGGCCCAAACCCCUACGGGAGGCAGCAGUAGGGAAUCUUCGGAAAUGGACGAAAGUCUGACCGAGCAACGCCGCGUGAGUGAAGAAGGGUUUCGGAUCGUAAAACUCUGUUGGUAGAGAAGAACGUUGGUGAGAGUGGAAAGCUCAUCAAGUGACGGUAACUACACAGAAAGGGACGGCUAACUACGUG